UACGUAGGGUGCGAGCGUUGUCCGGAAUUAUUGGGCGUAAAGAGCUCGUAGGCGGCCUGUCGCGUCGGAUGUGAAAGCCCGGGGCUUAACCCCGGGUCUGCAUUCGAUACGGGCAGGCUAGAGUUCGGUAGGGGAGAUCGGAAUUCCUGGUGUAGCGGUGAAAUGCGCAGAUAUCAGGAGGAACACCGGUGGCGAAGGCGGCUUCCUGGACCGACACUGACGCUGAGGCGCGAAAGCUAGGGGAGCAAACGGG
rnacentral:rRNA from 1 species